rnacentral:rRNA from 1 species
CCGUUCUUAGUUGGUGGAGUGAUCUGUCUGGUUAAUUCCGAUAACGAACGAGACUCUCCUCUGCUAAAUAGUCGGCUGGAUCUUGAAUUGCUGAGUUGCUCAUUGCCACGUUCGCGUGCGCUUAGCUUCCUGUGGCGUGCUCUGGGGUCCCCGUUUGGGUGUGGGGUGUGCUUGGUCUUGUUGUGUGUUGGCUCACUUUGUGGGUUUUUCGCGCUCGAGGCCUUGUUAUGCCUUUUCCUCCUGCGGGCCUGGAUGUUGCGUUCAGUGGGGCGGCGUGUUGUUGGGCGUGUGUCUUUGGCACUCCAAGUCCGUCGGCUCACACCCACGCAAGUGGGUUGUGUGGUGCAAGUUCUUCUUAGAGAGAUUGACGGCUCUGAAGCCGUACGAGAAUGAGAGCAAUAACAGGUCUGUGAUGCCCUCAGAUGCCCUGGGCCGCACGCGCGCUACAAUGCUGGACACAGCAGGUCUAGCCUGCUCCGAGAGGAGCGGGUAACCCUGUCAAAGUCCUGAGUUGUGUAUCGGGCAUCACACUCGUGGUGCAUUGGGCGUGCUUGGGCCUGGGGCUUGCAAUUCUUUCCCACAAACAAGGAAUGCCUUGUAGUGGCGAGUCACUGAGCUCGCUGUGACUCAGUCCCUGCCCUUUGUACACACCGCCCGUCGCUACUACCGAUUGGGUGUACCAGUGAGAACCUUGGACUGGCGUCCGGUGCCUCGCGCACCUGGGUCUGACGGAAAGAGGUUCGAACUGGUGCACUUAGAGGAAGUAAAAGUCGUAACAAGGUUUCCGUAGGUGAACCUGCGGAAGGAUC